GACGAACGCUGGCGGCGUGCUUAACACAUGCAAGUCGAACGGAAAGGCCCUGCUUUUGUGGGGUGCUCGAGUGGCGAACGGGUGAGUAACACGUGAGUAACCUGCCCUUGACUUUGGGAUAACUUCAGGAAACUGGGGCUAAUACCGGAUAGGAGCUCCUGCUGCAUGGUGGGGGUUGGAAAGUUUCGGCGGUUGGGGAUGGACUCGCGGCUUAUCAGCUUGUUGGUGGGGUAGUGGCUUACCAAGGCUUUGACGGGUAGCCGGCCUGAGAGGGUGACCGGCCACAUUGGGACUGAGAUACGGACCAGACUGCUACGGGAGGCAGCAGUGGGGAAUAUUGCACAAUGGGCGGAAGCAUGAUGCAGCAACGCCGCGUGCGGGAUGACGGCCUUCGGGUUGUAAACCGCUUUCGCCUGUGACGAAGCGUGAGUGACGGUAAUGGGUAAAGAAGCACCGGCUAACUACGUG
rnacentral:rRNA from 1 species